CCGGUUCCGGUUCACGCCUGAGCCCGUCCGCCGUACGCCCUGCGGGGCGGCGGUGGGGACGAGCCGGAUGGCGACCCGGCGACC
rnacentral:ncRNA from 1 species